GAGGGUUUCUUGACAGGACAUCUGUCCAUCCUUUGAUUGCUAGCAUCAAUGUGGCUGACCUGGAUGACUAGGCAGAUGUUCACUUCCUC
ensembl:misc_RNA 7SK 7SK RNA